AGUGCACUUCUCCCUGUGGAACUCUCUGCCCCUGAUUCUUCCCUCACGCACCUAGUCAGCCGUUACAGAAUCACCCACCACAACCAGACCAAGCAGCGUGGUAACCAGGAGCAGAGGGUUCUGGACACCUGGACAUGGGAGAUUUUGGAUGGAACGGAACCCUGGGCACAGCCUGGGGAAUAUCGCCACCCCAAGGCAGAGCUGGAGGCAGCAAAAGCUGAGCGGCGGCGAUAUGAGGAGGCAGCACGGCAGUGCGACAGGCACGAGAGGCAGCCCCAAAAAUAUGUUUUGGGGUUGCACACGGGGAGUGUGGCAGAGUCAGGUUUGAGACCUGUGCUCACUCCUCGUGCUUACCGGAAGAAGCGCAGUACUGGUCAGGCACCGUGUUAUGCGGUCAAGCACACGGUGUUGCCAGUACGCGCUCAUAGCCCGGCAGGCUAUAGACCAGCCCCACGCAAGUGCCAUGCGAGAGUAGGCAUCCAGCAAGGGCGUGUUGUGCCAGCCCAGCGUGUUUGGUCUCCAGUACGUCGUUUCGGCCCAGGGUAUCCUGCGCCUGCGCCAGCGCUGCGUGCUGUGUCUCUUGGGCGCUGGGAGGGUGCAGUGCGUCCUCUGCCUGCGCUCCGCUCGCGCCAGGCAAAUGUGGGAGUGGAGCCUAAGGGAGAAGUGCGAGUGGUCUGCACCAGAUCUCCAGUGCUCACCCACAGCCCGGUUGAACCUGUGCCUGCACUCUGGAGAGUCUGGGCUAAAGGGGUCAUCCAGCCUAGAGGAGUGCUACCAAGGCUGCGCACCAGGGCUCCAGUGCUCCCCCACCGCCCGGUCCAUCCGGUGCCUCCUCCACGCACCAGGAAUCCUGAAGGUCUCCCCAGCCUGGUGGGUCCUGUGGCAGCCCCACGCACCAGGCUGUCUCUCCCUCUCCUCCCUUCAGGUUCGCCCAUCUGUCCUGAGCCGCCAGAGCCGCCAGUCUGUCCUGAGCCACCAGAGACGCCCGUCUGUCAGGAGCCGUCCUUCACGCCGGCGCUGCCGGGAAUCGCCCUUCUCCCGCCUGUCCGGUGCUGCCGGAAUCUCCUGUCCAUUCGGGACCAGCGGCAAGGAUCCUCAGUCCGAGGGUCGCCGCUCCCAAGGAGCCACGGUUUGGCAGAUUAUAAAAAAUUAGAUUAUAAAAAAAGAUAA
rnacentral:lncRNA from 1 species